GGUAAAUGUAGCAUUAAAGGGUAAAUGUAGUGUUAGAGGGUAAAUGUAGCAUUAAAGGGUAAAUGUAGUGUUAGAGGGUAAAUGUAGUGUUAGAGGUUAAAUGUAGUGUUAGAGGGUAAAUGUAGCAUUAAAGGGUAAAUGUAGUGUUAGAGGGUAAAUGUGGUGUUAGAGGGUAAAUGUAGUGUUAGAGGGUAAAUGUAGUAGUAGAGGGUAAAUGUAGAGUUAGAGGGUAAAUGUAGCAUUAAAGGGUAAAUGUAGUGUUAGAGGGUAAAUGUAGUAGUAGAGGGUAAAUGUAGAGUUAGAGGGUAAAUGUAUUGUUAGAGGGUAAAUGUAGUGUUAGAGGGUAAACGUAGUGUUAAAGGGUAAAUGUAGCAUUAAAGGGUAAAUGUAGUGUUAGAGGGUAAAUGUAGAGUUAGAGGUAAAUGUAGCAUUAAAGGGUAAAUGUAGUGUUAGAGGGUAAAUGUAGUGUUAGAGGUUAAAUGUAGUGUUAGAGGGUAAAUGUAGCAUUAAAGGGUAAAUGUAGUGUUAGAGGGUAAAUGUAGCAUUAAAGGGUAAAUGUAGUGUUAGAGGGUAAAUGUGGUGUUAGAGG